CCUACGGGAGGCAGCAGUGAGGAAUAUUGGUCAAUGGGCUUACGCCUGAACCAGCCAAGUCGCGUGAGGGAAGACUGCCCUAUGGGUUGUAAACCUCUUUUGUCAGGGAGCAAAUGGCGCUACGGGUAGCGUUAUAGAGAGUACCUGAAGAAAAAGCAUCGGCUAACUCCGUGCCAGCAGCCGCGGGAAUACGGAGGAUGCGAGCGUUAUCCGGAUUUAUUGGGUUUAAAGGGUGCGUAGGCGGAAUGCCAAGUCAGCGGUAAAAUCGCGGGGCUCAACCCCGCUCCGCGGUUGAUACUAGCGUACUUGAGUGGGCGAGAGGUAUGCGGAAUGCGAGGUGUAGCGGUGAAAUGCAUAGAUAUCACGCAGAACUCCGAAGGCGAAGGCAGCAUACCGGCGCCAAACUGACGCUGAGGCACGAAAGCGUGGGUAUCGAACAGGAUUAGAUACCCGGGUAGUC
rnacentral:rRNA from 1 species